rnacentral:rRNA from 1 species
AGAGUUUGAUCCUGGCUCAGGACGAACGCUGGCGGCGCGCCUAACACAUGCAAGUCGAACGGAGCUUAGAGAGCUUGCUUUUUAAGCUUAGUGGCGAACGGGUGAGUAACGCGUGAGUAACCUGCCCUAGAGUGGGGGACAACAGUUGGAAACGACUGCUAAUACCGCAUAAGCCCACGGUGCCGCAUGACACUGAGGGAAAAGGAUUUAUUCGCUUUAGGAUGGACUCGCGUCCAAUUAGCUAGUUGGUGAGGUAACGGCCCACCAAGGCGACGAUUGGUAGCCGGACUGAGAGGUUGAACGGCCACAUUGGGACUGAGACACGGCCCAGACUCCUACGGGAGGCAGCAGUGGGGAAUAUUGCACAAUGGGGGAAACCCUGAUGCAGCGACGCCGCGUGGAGGAAGAAGGUCUUCGGAUUGUAAACUCCUGUUGUUGAGGAAGAUAAUGACGGUACUCAACAAGGAAGUGACGGCUAACUACGUGCCAGCAGCCGCGGUAAGACGUAGGUCACAAGCGUUGUCCGGAAUUACUGGGUGUAAAGGGAGCGCAGGCGGGAAGACAAGUUGGAAGUGAAAUCCAUGGGCUCAACCCAUGAACUGCUUUCAAAACUGUUUUUCUUGAGUAGUGCAGAGGUAGGCGGAAUUCCCGGUGUAGCGGUGGAAUGCGUAGAUAUCGGGAGGAACACCAGUGGCGAAGGCGGCCUACUGGGCACCAACUGACGCUGAGGCUCGAAAGUGUGGGUAGCAGACAGGAUUAGAUACCCUGGUAGUCCACACUGUAAACGAUGAUUACUAGGUGUUGGAGGAUUGACCCCUUCAGUGCCGCAGUUAACACAAUAAGUAAUCCACCUGGGGAGUACGACCGCAAGGUUGAAACUCAAAGGAAUUGACGGGGGCCCGCACAAGCAGUGGAGUAUGUGGUUUAAUUCGACGCAACGCGAAGAACCUUACCAAGUCUUGACAUCCUGCGACGAUGCUGGAAACAGUACUUUCCUUCGGGACGCAGAGACAGGUGGUGCAUGGUUGUCGUCAGCUCGUGUCGUGAGAUGUUGGGUUAAGUCCCGCAACGAGCGCAACCCUUAUGGUCAGUUACUACGCAAGAGGACUCUGGCCAGACUGCCGUUGACAAAACGGAGGAAGGUGGGGAUGACGUCAAAUCAUCAUGCCCUUUAUGACUUGGGCUACACACGUACUACAAUGGCGUUAAACAAAGAGAAGCAAGACCGCGAGGUGGAGCAAAACUCAGAAACAACGUCCCAGUUCGGACUGCAGGCUGCAACUCGCCUGCACGAAGUCGGAAUUGCUAGUAAUCGCAGAUCAGCAUGCUGCGGUGAAUACGUUCCCGGGCCUUGCACACACCGCCCGUCA